AGGGACCCAGAGGUGUGGGAUAACCCAAACGAGUUUGACCCUGAGCGUUUUACAGCCGGAAGUAAAAUAUCUUCCAUGUUUCAUCUUCCCUUCUCCAUAGGACCAAGAAAUUGUAUAGGUCAACAUUUUGCUCUUACCCAGGUGAAGGUCGUUAUCUGCGAAUUAUUACGUCAUUUCCAACUUGACCUUGACCCCGAAAGAGAAGCUGAACCCGAAUGUCUACUGAUACUUAGGAGUAAAAACGGACUGUAUCUCAAAAUAAAACCUAUCUAGGAUUAUUUCUGCAGCAUUUACUUCCUGAAAAUAUGUGUAGUAAAGAAAAUAUGCGAUUCUCCUGUAAAAUAAUAACUGAGUAAGAUGUUAUGAAUAUAUGUUUUAAACCAACGUUAUUUCCGUAAUGAAUGGGUACAAAUAACACAAAACUAUGUCCCAAAAAUUGGUGAUCCUGUUGGUUUCCAGUUCGAAUAUUCUCAUUCGUGUAAUAGAAAUACCUGGCGCAAGGUUAUGAAACGAUGAUCUGGGCACAAAACUCUGGACAGUCGGUCCGGGGGAUUUAGGUCGCUGACUUCGAAUCACUUGCCCCUUACCGAUGUUGGUUCAAAACCUCGCUUGGGUGUAAAAUUCUUUCAUAUGAAGAAGCCAUCCAGCUGUCUUACGGAAGGUCGAUGG
rnacentral:lncRNA from 1 species